rnacentral:rRNA from 1 species
UACGUAGGGUGCAAGCGUUAUCCGGAAUUAUUGGGCGUAAAGAGCUCGUAGGCGGUUUGUCGCGUCUGCUGUGAAAACUGGAGGCUCAACCUCCAGCUUGCAGUGGGUACGGGCAAACUAGAGUGCGGUAGGGGAGAUUGGAAUUCCUGGUGUAGCGGUGAAAUGCGCAGAUAUCAGGAGGAACACCGAUUGCGAAGGCAGCUCGCUGGGACGUUACUGACGCUGAGACGCGAAAGCGUGGGGAGCAAACAGG